rnacentral:rRNA from 1 species
CGUAACACGUGAGCAACCUACCGAACUGUGGGGGAUAGCCGGCCUAACGGCCGAGUAAUACCGCAUACGCUUUCAAUGAGGCAUUUCAUUGAAAGGAAACCUACGGGACAGAUCGAGGGGCUCGCGGCCUAUCAGCUAGUUGGCGAGGUAACGGCUCACCAAGGCAACGACGGGUAGCUGGUCUGAGAGGAUGGCCAGCCACAUUGGGACUGAGAUACGGCCCAG